rnacentral:rRNA from 1 species
UACGUAGGGUGCAAGCGUAGUCCGGAAUUAUUGGGCGUAAAGAGCUUGUAGGCGGUUUGUCGCGUCUGCUGUGAAAUUUCGGGGCUCAACCCCGAACUUGCAGUGGGUACGGGCAGACUAGAGUGUGGUAGGGGAGACUGGAAUUCCUGGUGUAGCGGUGAAAUGCGCAGAUAUCAGGAGGAACACCGAUGGCGAAGGCAGGUCUCUGGGCCACUACUGACGCUGAGAAGCGAAAGCAUGGGGAGCGAACAGG